UGGGGAAUUUUGGACAAUGGGCGAAAGCCUGAUCCAGCAAUGCCGCGUGUGUGAAGAAGGCCUUCGGGUUGUAAAGCACUUUUGUCCGGAAAGAAAUCCUUGGCUCUAAUACAGUCGGGGGAUGACGGUACCGGAAGAAUAAGCACCGGCUAACUACGUGCCAGCAGCCGCGGUAAUACGUAGGGUGCAAGCGUUAAUCGGAAUUACUGGGCGCAAAGCGUGCGCAGGCGGUUUGCUAAGACCGAUGUGAAAUCCCCGGGCUCAACCUGGGAACUGCAUUGGUGACUGGCAGGCUAGAGUAUGGCAGAGGGGGGUAGAAUUCCACGUGUAGCAGUGAAAUGCGUAGAGAUGUGGAGGAAUACCGAUGGCGAAGGCAGCCCCCUGGGCCAAUACUGACGCUCAUGCACGAAAGCGU
rnacentral:rRNA from 1 species